rnacentral:rRNA from 1 species
AGCGGUAACGAUCUAGCUUGCUAUAUGCUGACGAGCGGCGGACGGGUGAGUAAUGCAUAGGAAUCUGCCCCAUAGUGGGGGAUAACCUGGGGAAACCCAGGCUAAUACCGCAUACGUCCUACGGGAGAAAGGGGGCUUCGGCUCCCGCUAUUGGAUGACCCUAUGUCCGAUUAUCUAGUUGGUGAGGUAAUGGCUUACCAAGGCAACGAUCCGUAGCUGGUCUGAGAGGAUGAUCAGCCACAUCGGGACUGAGACACGGCCCUAACUCCUACGGGAGGCAGCAGUGGGGAAUAUUGGACAAUGGGGGGAACCCUGAUCCAGCCAUGCCGCGUGUGUGAAGAAGGCCCUCGGGUUGUAAAGCACUUUCAGCGAGGAAGAACGCCUAGUGGUUAAUACCCAUUAGGAAAGACAUCACUCGCAUAAUAAGCACCGGCUAACUCCGUGCCAGCAGCCGCGGUAAUACGGAGGGUGCAAGCGUUAAUCGGAAUUACUGGGCGUAAAGCGCGCGUACGUGGCUUGAUAAGCCGGUUGUGAAAGCCCCGGGCUCAACCUGGGAACCGGAUCCCGAACUGUCAUGUUAGAGUGCAGGAUAGGAAUGUAGAAUUCCCGGUGU